CAGCCGCCACGGUAAUACGAAGGUCCCGAGCGUUGUUCGGAAUCACUGGGCGUAAAGGGAGCGUAGGCGGCGUGGUAAGUCAGAUGUGAAAUCCCGGGGCUCAACCCCGGAACUGCAUCCGAUACUGCCGUGCUAGAGGAUUGGAGAGGUAGCUGGAAUUCUUGGUGUAGCAGUGAAAUGCGUGGAGAUCAAGAGGAACACUCGUGGCGAAAGCGAGCUACUGGACAAUAUCUGACGCUGAGGCUCGAAGGCCAGGGUAGCGAAAGGGAUUAGAUACCCGCGUAGUCCCUGUCUCUUAUAC
rnacentral:rRNA from 1 species